CCUAGUAGAAAGCCAAAUAGGUACUGGGGUUGCAGAGGGCAGCCAAAGGGGUAGGGUGAGGCAGCAGGUCCAACCCCCCCUUGCCCAUGAUGAGUGGCAUUUACAGUGCAGUUGGCCCCAGGGAAUGGGGGCUAGUUGAGGACUGGCAGUUGCCGUAGACUGAGGACUUUGACACCCUGGAAGGAAUGAAAGUGCAGCGUGUCUUAGCUAGAGGGCAAAGGCACUGGUCCCUGUGAAAGGUGGUGGUUAACUAUCAGAGUCCCUGAGGUGAGGGUAUAGUGACAUGUUGAACUUCAAUGGGGUGCUGCAGAGGCUGACCUUGCUACCUACAGCCAAGUGUUUCAUCUAUUUCUGAUGGAGGGAAAGCAUCCACCUCACAGGAACCACUAUGGGUAUGUCUACACAGCAUUUUGGAGUGAGCCUCCCAGCCUGGGUCAACAGACUCUGGCUACCAGUUCUCCUCAUCUUUCAGGAUCAGGCUCUCUGAGACUAGGGGCCUGUCUGCACUUAAAACGCUGCUACAGUGAAAAUGCCACUAUG